CAGCAGCCACGGUAAUACAGAGGGUGCGAGCGUUAAUCGGAUUUACUGGGCGUAAAGCGUGCGUAGGCGGCUAAUUGAGUCGGAUGUGAAAUCCCUGAGCUUAACUUAGGAAUUGCAUUCGAUACUGGGAAGCUAGAGUAUGGGAGAGGAUGGUAGAAUUCCAGGUGUAGCGGUGAAAUGCGUAGAGAUCUGGAGGAAUACCGAUGGCGAAGGCAGCCAUCUGGCCUAAUACUGACGCUGAGGUACGAAAGCAUGGGGAGCAAACAGGAUUAGAGACCCCCGUAGUCCCUGUCUCUUAUAA
rnacentral:rRNA from 1 species